rnacentral:rRNA from 1 species
GUCCAAGCGCCGCCCCCCGGAGGGGGGUUUUUUUUUAGGAAAAAGACAGGCCGGGUUUGGGCGGCCCUUCCUGGGUAAAUCUUGGUUACCCAGCCGAUCGCACGGUCCUCGCGCCGGCGACGGAUCCUUCGAAUGUCUGCCCUAUCAACUUUCGAUGGUACGUUAUGCGCCUACCAUGGUCGUCACGGGUAACGGAGAAUCAGGGUUCGAUUCCGGAGAGGGAGCCUGAGAAACGGCUACCACAUCUAAGGAAGGCAGCAGGCGCGUAAAUUACCCAAUCCUGAUUCAGGGAGGUAGUGACAAGAAAUAGCAAACUGGAUGAUUUUUCAUCACAGUAUUGCAAUGAGAACAACGUAAAUGCUUUAUCGAUUAACAAUUGGAGGGCAAGUCUGGUGCCAGCAGCCGCGGUAAUUCCAGCUCCAAUAGCGUAUAUUAAAGUUGUUGCAGUUAAAAAGCUCGUAGUUGAACUUCUGUACGUUCACAGUUCUGGCUUUGGUCAAGCUGUGGAGCGUGCAUCCGCUUGCAAACUUAGACCGGCCUUCACUGGUCGACUAAGGGAGUAAGCCCUUUACUUUGAAAAAAUUAGAGUGUUUCUAGCAGGCUUUGGCUCGAAUACAUUAGCAUGGAAUAAUGGAAUAGGACUUUUGUCCAUUUGGUUGGUUAUUGGACAUUAGUAAUGAUUAAAAGGGACAGUUGGGGGCAUUAGUACUUAAUAGUCAGAGGUGAAAUUCUUGGAUUUAUUAAAGACUAACUUAUGCGAAAGCAUUUGCCAAGGAUGUUUUCAUUAAUCAAGAACGAAAGUUAGGGGAUAAAAGACGAUCAGAUACCGCCCUAGUCUUAACUAAAAACUAAACGGACUAAACCGAAAGAGCGCCGGGAAGGAAAAGGUGUAACCCCACAUCAAACUUCCAUCCUCCUUAACUCAGUAAAAACACAAAACACAGA